UCGCAUAGUGCUGACUUCAAUUUUUUAUGUUGCGGUGUUUGCUAACCGUGGUCUUACGUAUGUAAUGAUGAAUUAUCUUUUGUGCUGAACAGGUACUAGGUUUUGGUUGAAUCAAUGAUGGAUGAAACAAAAGAGAACCCUUUCAUCAACAGAAAAGAUCACAAAGAUGUUUCGAAUAAAGAGGAUAUUGUUAAUGAUGUUGUAUCGUACAAAACAAAAAAGAGGACUUAAGAAAGGAAGCUUAUGACAGCUAAAAGAGGUGUGCUAACAUUGUAUUUAUAUGGAUUUUUAAAGUGUUAAACACUUUCUUGUUAAUUAUAUUGCAUGU
rnacentral:lncRNA from 1 species